rnacentral:rRNA from 1 species
GACGAACGCUGGCGGCGUGCUUAACACAUGCAAGUCGAACGGAAAGGCCCUGCUUUUGUGGGGUGCUCGAGUGGCGAACGGGUGAGUAACACGUGAGUAACCUGCCCUUGACUUUGGGAUAACUUCAGGAAACUGGGGCUAAUACCGGAUAGGAGCUCCUGCUGCAGGGUGGGGGUUGGAAAGUUUCGGCGGUUGGGGAUGGACUCGCGGCUUAUCAGCUUGUUGGUGGGGUAGUGGCUUACCAAGGCUUUGACGGGUAGCCGGCCUGAGAGGGUGACCGGCCACCAUGGGCCUGAGAUACGGCCCAGACUCCUACGGGAGGCAGCAGUGGGGAAUAUUGCCCAAUGGGCGGACGCCUGAUGCAGCAACGCCGCGUGCGUGAUGCCGGCCUUCGGGUUGUAAACCGCUUUCGCCUGUGACGAAGCGUGAGUGACGGUAAUGGGUAAAGAAGCACCGGCUAACUACGUG